rnacentral:rRNA from 1 species
GACGAACGCUGGCGGCGUGCUUAACACAUGCAAGUCGAACGGAAAGGCCCUGCUUUUGUGGGGUGCUCGAGUGGCGAACGGGUGAGUAACACGUGAGUAACCUGCCCUUGACUUUGGGAUAACUUCAGGAAACUGGGGCUAAUACCGGAUAGGAGCUCCUGCUGCAUGGUGGGGGUUGGAAAGUUUCGGCGGUUGGGGAUGGACUCGCGGCUUAUCAGCUUGUUGGCGGGGUAGUGGCUUACCAAGGCUUUGACGGGUAGCCGGCCUGAGAGGGUGACCGGCCACAUUGGGACUGCGAUACGGCCCAGACUCCUACGGGAGGCAGCAGUGGGGAAUAUUGUACAAUGGGCGGAAGCCUGAUGCAGCAACGCCGCGUGCGGGAUGACGGCCUUCGGGUUGUAAACCGCUUUCGCCUGUGACGAAGCGUGAGUGACGGUAAUGGGUAAAGAAGCACCGGCUAACUACGUG